rnacentral:lncRNA from 1 species
AUAACACCCAGUGCUCAUCCCAUCCAUGGACCUUGAGACCAACAAGUGGAUUAAUCCAAAUGUCUACAUAUGCAAAGAGUAUCCAUUCAAUGUCCCCCUCCUGAGCGCAAGGCAGGACCCUCCACGAGCAGCCGACUCAGGAGAGGAGCAGGAUAAAGUGACCACGGGAAGAACGUCAAGGUAAGAAGAGCUGGGAAAGCAAUGCCGCGGAGGUGCUGAACUGGUAAAAACGGAACAGUUUCACAGAGAAGAGGCUAUUGAAACAUUCUGAGUAGUCGUGAGAAGCAUUUCCACGUUCGUAUCUUUUUUUCUUUUUUAAACAAGUGAGAGGUUAGUAGCUCUCCCACGAUCAACUGAUCCGGUGCAGUCGAAAGUAUGUAAAACACAAGAGUAACCGCGUUGUCUUGGAACGUCAGCGUCUGCAAGGUGGUCAGGAGGCCACGAAGGCUCCCACAGAAACACAGCCAAGAAAAGACGAGGAAAACACGCACACUGCCUCGCCUCCUGACCCCCCUCAGGCAGCACUGUGCUCCAGCAGCACAUCCGUGUCAGCCCGGCUAAUGACCUAAACGCUCUGAAAUGCAUUUUCCCCGUGGGAAAGCGACAGUCAUUAUACAUGCCUCAUGGGAGUUGUCAGGAGCCCUCCAAGGAUGCCAGGAGUAGCAAGGACAUCCAACUUUGGACCAGUUUUAUUCAGGGCCAUACCUGUAAUUGACAACAUGCCAUCUAGCGAUGAGGGUCAUUACAAAACGUGCACACAGCUCGUGGACUUACAUUCCACCUUGAAGAAUGCAAGGUCAUUUUCAUUCAAGUUAUUGUGAGUUGGUUGGAGACCACAAAUCACUGAAGAAAAUGUUAACUUCCUCAUCAAG